rnacentral:rRNA from 1 species
AUCAACGCCUGGCGGGCAGUGCCUAACACAUGCAAGUCGAACGAGAAAAGUGGAGCAAUCCAUGAGUACAAGUGGCGACCCGGGGUGAGUAAACACGUGACUAACCUACCCUCGAGUGGGGGAAUAACCUCCGGGAAAACCGGGAGCUAAGACCGCAUAAUCGAUCGCAGAGAUCAAAAUGCCGGAAAGCAGCUUGGAGGAGGGGGGUUCGCGGCUUGAUUAGCUAGUUGGUAGGGUAAACGGCCUACCAAGGCGAAGAUCGUAAUCCGGGCCUGAGAGGGCGCACGGACACACUGGAACUGAAAACACGGUCCAGACUCCUACGGGGAGGCAGCAGUGGGGAAUUUUGCGCAAUGGGGGAAAACCCUGACGCAGCAACUGCCGCGUGGAGGAUGAAGUCCCUUGGGAUGUUAAACUCCUUUCGAUCCGGGAAAAAGAUAACUGACGGGUACCGGAAGAAGAAGCCACCGGCUAACCUCUUGUGCCAGCAGCCGCGGUAAUACAGAGGGUGCGAAGCGUUGUUCAGAAUUAUUGGGCGUAAAGGGCGCGUAGGCGGUGCGGUAAGUCACCUGUGAAAUCUCCUGGGCUCAACUGGGAGUCUGCAGGCGAAACUUGCCGUGCUGGAGUGUGGGGAGGAGGGUGAGUGGAAUUUCCCGGUGUAGCGGUGAAAUGCGUAGAUAUCGGGAGGAACACACCUGUGGCGAAAGCGGCUCGUACUGGACCACAAAACUGGAACGCUGAGGCGCGAAAGCUAGGGGAGCAAACAGGAUUAGAUACCCCUGGUAGUCCUAGCCCUAAACGAUGAAUGCUUGGUGUGAAUGGGUAACCCAAUCCAGUCGUGCCGGAGCUAACGCGAUAUAAGCAUCCCGCCUGGGGGAGUAGUACCGGUCGCAAAGGAAGGCUGAAAAACUCCAAAGGAAUUGACGGGGGGCCCCGCCAACAAGCGGUGGAGCAUGUGGUUCAAUUUCGACGCAACGCGAAAGAACCUUACCAUGGGCUCGAAAUGUAGUUGGAUCCGGUGGUAAGAAACUAUCCUUUCCCCCCAAGGGCCGGCUCUAUAGGUGCUGCCAUGGCUGUCGUCAGCCUCGUGUCGUGGAGAUGUUGGGUUAAGUCCCGCCAACGAGCGCAAACCCUUAUGCGUAGUUGCCCAGCACGGGGUCAAACCGUGGCACUCUUAGGCGAAAACCGCCCUCGGAUAACGGGGAGGGAAGGUUGGGGAUGACGUCAAGUCCCUCAUGGCCUUUUAUGUCCAGGGGCUACACACGUGCUACAAUGGGUCGGUACAAACCGUCGCAAAACCCGCUGAGGGGGAGCCUAAUUCGGAAAAAGCACAUCCCCUCAAGUUCGGAUUGGAGUCUGCAACUUCGACUCCAUGAAGCUGGAAUCGCUAGUAAUCGCAGAUCAGAACGCCUUGCGGUGAAUACGUUCCCGGGGCCUUGUACAACCGCCCGUCACAUCACGAAAGUGGGACUGCUACUAGAAGCCGAGGGGAGCUAAACCGCAAGGAAGCAAGUCCGUCCAAGGUAUAACUUCAUGAUUGGGGUG